rnacentral:rRNA from 1 species
GAGCCAGACUCCUACGGGAGGCAGCAGUGAGGAAUAUUGGUCAAUGGGCGGGAGCCUGAACCAGCCAAGUCGCGUGAGGGAUGACGGCCCUAUGGGUUGUAAACCUCUUUUGCCGGGGAGCAAAGUGCCGCACGUGUGCGGUUUGGAGAGUACCCGGAGAAAAAGCAUCGGCUAACUCCGUGCCAGCAGCCGCGGUAAUACGUAGGGGGCAAGCGUUAUCCGGAUUUACUGGGUGUAAAGGGAGCGUAGACGGCAGCGCAAGCCUGGAGUGAAAGGAUGGGGCCCAACCCCAUGACUGCUCUGGGAACUGCGCGGCUGGAGUGCCGGAGGGGUAAGCGGAAUUCCUAGUGUAGCGGUGAAAUGCGUAGAUAUUAGGAGGAACACCAGUGGCGAAGGCGGCUUACUGGACGGUAACUGACGUUGAGGCUCGAAAGCGUGGGGAGCAAACAGGAUUAGAUACCCUGGUAC